AGCUUAGCACAGUGGCAGUAUCAUAGCCAAUGAGGUUUAUCCAAAGCACGAUUAUUGCUAAUCAAAUAAUUCUAUGAAUCA
rnacentral:snRNA from 1 species